rnacentral:rRNA from 1 species
GACGAACGCUGGCGGCGUGCUUAACACAUGCAAGUCGAACGGAAAGGCCCUGCUUUUGCGGGGUGCUCGAGUGGCGAACGGGUGAGUAACACGUGAGUAACCUGCCCUUGACUUUGGGAUAACUUCAGGAAACUGGGGCUAAUACCGGAUAGGAGCUCCUGCCGCAUGGUGGGGGUUGGAAAGUUUCGGCGGUUGGGGAUGGACUCGCGGCUUAUCAGCUUGUUGGUGGGGUAGUGGCUUACCAAGGCUUUGACGGGUAGCCGGCCUGAGAGGGUGACCGGCCACAUUGGGACUGAGAUACGGCCCAGACUCCUACGGGAGGCAGCAGUGGGGAAUAUUGCACAAUGGGCGGAAGCCUGAUGCAGCAACGCCGCGUGCGGGAUGACGGCCUUCGGGUUGUAAACCGCUUUCGCCUGUGACGAAGCGUGAGUGACGGUAAUGGGUAAAGAAGCACCGGCUAACUACGUG